rnacentral:antisense_RNA from 1 species
AAGUUGACAGCGCUCUGCUGUCAUAGGUAAACACACUAAUCCGCGCGCGUGCGUGACCAUAAAAUUAAUUGCUUCUGGCGUAACGUGCUCAGCAGCCAUGAUAA